rnacentral:rRNA from 1 species
GAUGAACGCUGGCGGUGUGCCUAAUACAUGCAAGUCGAGCGAACGGACGAGAAGCUUGCUUCUCUGAUGUUAGCGGCGGACGGGUGAGUAACACGUGGAUAACCUACCUAUAAGACUGGGAUAACUUCGGGAAACCGGAGCUAAUACCGGAUAAUAUUUUGAACCGCAUGGUUCAAAAGUGAAAGACGGUCUUGCUGUCACUUAUAGAUGGAUCCGCGCUGCAUUAGCUAGUUGGUAAGGUAACGGCUUACCAAGGCAACGAUGCAUAGCCGACCUGAGAGGGUGAUCGGCCACACUGGAACUGAGACACGGUCCAGACUCCUACGGGAGGCAGCAGUAGGGAAUCUUCCGCAAUGGGCGAAAGCCCGACGGAGCAACGCCGCGUGAGUGAUGAAGGUCUUCGGAUCGUAAAACUCUGUUAUUAGGGAAGAACAUAUGUGUAAGUAACUGUGCACAUCUUGACGGUACCUAAACAGAAAGCAACGGCUAACUACGUG